rnacentral:rRNA from 1 species
CCUACGGGAGGCAGCAGUGGGGAAUAUUGCACAAUGGGGGAAACCCUGAUGCAGCGACGCCGCGUGAGUGAAGAAGUAAUUCGUUAUGUAAAGCUCUAUCAGCAGGGAAGAAAAUGACGGUACCUGAGUAAGAAGCCCCGGCUAACUACGUGCCAGCAGCCGCGGUCAUACGUAGGGGGCAAGCGUUAUCCGUCUUUACUGGGUGUAAAGGGAGCGUAGACGGCAGUGCAAGUCUGGAGUGAAAGGCGGGGGCUCAACCCCCGGACUGCUCUGGAAACUGUACGGCUGGAGUGCAGGAGAGGUAAGUGGAAUUCCUAGUGUAGCGGUGAAAUGCGUAGAUAUUAGGAGGAACACCAGUGGCGAAGGCGGCUUACUGGACUGUAACUGACGUUGAGGCUCGAAAGCGUGGGGAGCAAACAGGAUUAGAUACCCUUGUAGUC